rnacentral:rRNA from 1 species
AACGAACGUUGGCGGCGUGCCUAACACAUGCAAGUCGAGCGCGAAAUUCACCUUCGGGUGGAGAGUAGAGCGGCGCACGGGUGAGUAACACGUGAGUAAUCUGCCUCGAAGUCUGGGAUAACCACUCGAAAGGGUGGCUAAUACUGGAUAAGCCUCCGGGUCCGUAGGGUCCUGCAGGAAAAGCUUUAUGUGCUUCGAGAUGAGCUCGCGUCGCAUUAGGUAGUUGGUGGGGUAACGGCCUACCAAGCCGAAGAUGCGUAGCUGGUCUGAGAGGGUGAUCAGCCACACUGGAACUGAGACACGGUCCAG